UACGGAGGGUGCAAGCGUUAAUCGGAAUUACUGGGCGUAAAGCGCGCGUAGGCGGGUAUUUAAGUCAGAUGUGAAAGCCCAGGGCUCAACCUUGGAACUGCAUUUGAUACUGGGUACCUUGAGUACAGUAGAGGGAGGUGGAAUUUCAGGUGUAGCGGUGAAAUGCGUAGAUAUCUGAAGGAACAUCAGUGGCGAAGGCGACCUCCUGGACUGAUACUGACGCUGAGGUGCGAAAGCGUGGGGAGCAAACAGG
rnacentral:rRNA from 1 species